rnacentral:lncRNA from 12 species
CAAGCUGUGGGUUUGGGGGUGGCCACGCCCUGGGCAGGAGCUGUGACACCUCAGGUGUGUGGUGCUGGGAUGGGCACUGACUGGGAUGGGGCUGCCUUCUGCUUCCAGGGUGGUGGCACGGGAUGAGGAGGAUGAGGAAGAAAAGAUCUUCCCUGCAGACUCACCUGUGCUGCUGAGAGAGCUGAAUAACAAGAGCCACUACUCGGGGUGGGUGCAGGCCAGCAACGCCCUGGGCACUGCCCGCUCUGCCCCACGGCUCCUCAGCCUGCAGGAGCUCGGUAUGUCCCUCUGUCUGUCUGUCCGUCUGUCCAUCCCUCCAUUAUCCAUCAUCCAUCCAUCCAUCCAUCCCUCCCUCUGCCCACCCCCACCCCGCCCUGCCCUGCGGUGUCACUUUAGGGACGCCCCAGAGCCCCGUGCCAGCCCCACCCCUUCCCUCCCCGCCUGUCCCCGCAGUUGUCCCCGCUCUGCCCGUGGCCAUCGGCGCCCACACCUCGGAGUCGUCCCCUCCGGUCACCACCACGCGCUGGAGGAGCCGGACCCGGCUGCAGAACGUGCGGUGCCAGGAGAGGCACAGAGCCACGGGCACCCCGACGUGGCAGGUGGAGCCGUGCGACACGGCGGCGCAGGAGGGUCCCCGCCGGCAGCGCGAGCUGCAGCGCGCCAAGCCGUGCGACACGGCGGCGCAGGAGGGUCCCCGCUGGCAGCGCGAGCUGCAGAGCGACACCGAGUUCGAGUUCCAGGCGCGGUGCCGGCUCGGCAGCGCCCAGAGCCCCUGGAGCGCCUGGAGCCCCCCGUUCUUCUACCGCACCCCCGAGGCAGGUGCGCUCAGCCGCGGCCGCACCGCGAGUGGCGUUGGUCAGCCCCGGGGUGCCCGCAGCCCUGCGGAGGUGGCACUUGGGGACACGGGGCAGUGCUGGGCGAUGGCCGGGCUCGAUGUUCUCAGAGGGUUUUUUCCAGCCGUGCAGAUCCCACCAUCUUUAGCGGCUUUCUUGCUCCCCCGGGGUGGAAAAAAUCGCAUCAGCCGGGGUGUCGCGACAAAUCUCUGUCACCCUGAGCCAGCUCCCCCAAUUUGUGCAGCUGUCACCUGGGGAUGAGCCGGCUCAGCCAUCCCGGGAUGAGCGGGCAGCGCUGCCCUCCCAUCCCGGUGGCACCGGGGAACCGGGGGUGCUCCCCCC